rnacentral:lncRNA from 1 species
UCAAAAUUAUGAAGAAUAUGGAAACAAUGCAAUAUAUUUUCUAGUCUCAUUCUUAUUUGCAUUGUCGUGGAGGUGUCCAACAUUCUUAUUUGUAAUACUAGUACAAGUAUAUUUAUAUGAAAUUUGAUACAAUUGCAAGAUAAGCAUUCUACUUUCCACCUUGUAGAGUAACAUUGACAUCACAUUAAAUGCCCACUAGACAUACAUAAAUUCUACAUUCCCAUUUGAUGUAUAUAGCAAGAAAAGGAGACAAAUGGUACCAUCUAAAAUUGAGACAGAUAGCAUCAUAGGCCUUAUUGCAUUUUUUUGAAAAAAUAUCUUCAGUGAGAUUGCGUGGGAUAGUUUCUUU